rnacentral:rRNA from 1 species
GAUGAACGCUGGCGGCGUGCUUAACACAUGCAAGUCGAACGAAGCAGCCAUGCUUGCUGGUUCCUCGGGUGGCGAACGGGAGUGUAACACGUGGGUGAUAUGACCUGCACUUUGGGCUGCGCCUCGCAAACUGGGACCAGUUACGGAUAGGUGCUAUUUUUAGUUUGAUGGUUAGAAAGUCAUUAUGGUGUCGGAUGAGCUCGCGGCCUGUCAGCUUGUUGGUGGGGUAAUGGCCUACUAAGGCGGGGACGGGUAGCCGGCCUGGGAGGGUGGACGGCAACAUUGAGACUGAGAUACGGCCCAGACGCCUACGGGAGGCAGCAGUGGGGAAUAUUGCACAAUGGGCGCAAGCCUGAUGCAGCGACGCCGCGUGGGGGAUGACGGCCUUCGGGUUGUAAACUCCUUUCGCUAGGGACGAAGCUUUUUGUGACGGUACCUAGAUAAGAAGCACCGGCUAACUACGUG